ACGUAGGGGGCGAGCGUUAUUCGGAAUUACUGGGUGUAAAGGGUAUGUAGGCGGCCCUUCAAGUCGCGUGUCAAAGUCCAGUGCUCAACGCUGGGUGUGCGCGCGAUACUGACGGGCUUGAGGGCUGGAGAGGUGAGCGGAAUUCCCGGUGGACUGGUAAAAUGCGUAUUGAUCGGGAAGAAAACCAGCGGCGCAGGAGGCACACGAGACAAUUACUCACGCUAAUAUACCUAAGUGUGUGGACCGGACAG
rnacentral:rRNA from 1 species